AGGACAACAGAGAUUGGAAAAUACAUUUGCAAUUCAGCUUCGUUGCAUUCUUCUAAACGGAGGGUCAUAUUCAUCAAAUCAAAGACCAUGAACUGCCUGAUGAUCUUCAUGCUAGUGGCUCUUUUAGUCAUUGCUUGUGGAAUACAAGAGUCAUCUGCAUCUCUACACUUAUGUUUCAUUAGUGGGGGCGGGUGCAGAAACCUUCGUUUGUGCCUUGCUUCUGGUGGUACUAACAUUGGAAAAAUGGGAUGUACAUGGCCGAAUGUAUGCUGUAAUUGAUACUGGCCAGAGUCUUGACAAUGGCCACUGAGGAUCCCAUGGAACAUUCACCAAGAGUAGGGACUAGGGGGUGUUAACCCCUGUGUCUUGGCCAGAUGCCCAACUGGCAACUCCUACUGAAUUGACUAUUCCUGUUUGACCCUUUUGUCAUGAUUUGUACUUCCCUUUUGCAGAAUAAAAUUGCAAUGAGAAAACAC